AACGAACGCUGGCGGCGUGCCUAACACAUGCAAGUCGAACGAGAAAGGGGCUUCGGCUCCGAGUAAAGUGGCGCACGGGUGAGUAACACGUGGGUAACCUGCCUCUAAGAUUGGGAUAACUCGUCGAAAGAUGAGCUAAUACCGGAUAAGACCACAGUUCCCGCGGGAACAGGGGUCAAAGGUAGCCUCUGCUUGCAAGCUAUCACUUAGAGAUGGGCCUGCGCACCAUUAGCUAGUUGGUAGGGUAACGGCCUACCAAGGCAAAGAUGGUUAGCUGGUCUGAGAGGAUGAUCAGCCACACUGGAACUGAGACACGGUCCAGACUCCUACGGGAGGCAGCAGUGGGGAAUAUUGCGCAAUGGGCGAAAGCUUGACGCAGCAACGCCGCGUGAGUGAUGAAGGCCUUCGGGUCGUAAAGCUCUGUCGGGAGGAACGAAUGCUCCCAAGGUUAACAGCCUCGGGAGGUGACGGUACCUUCAAAGGAAGCACCGGCUAACUCUGUGCCAGCCGCCGCAGUAACAC
rnacentral:rRNA from 1 species